CCGGAUUUGUAAUCACUUAAGCAACACGACGGGUGCCAUAUGUGGAGCAGGAUCUGCUUACCCUUCCGGAGCACCUGAGAUCACCCCUAGUUUUUGGUGGGGUUCGUGUUGUUUAUUCUUUAGUUUUCUAUGUUGUGUCGUGUGUACUAUUGUUUUUCUGUUUGUCUUUUUUAUUUUUAGCCAUGGCGUUGUCAGUUUGUUUUAGAUUUAUGAGUUUGACUGUCCCUUUGGUAUCUUUCGUCCCUCUUUUAUAC
rnacentral:lncRNA from 1 species